rnacentral:misc_RNA from 1 species
GCCGGCUGGCUCCGUGCCCGUCCACCGAACGCUCGGCAGGCGAUCCGCGUCGGUCGCGCUGGGUGGUAUGGUUCCCCAGAGGCCGGUUCUUGUGCUGCCUACCCCUUAAGGGGAAGAGUUCCAAACUCGAUGUAAGCCUCCAUCCGGCGCCCUCCAAAGGGCGCGGGAGGACAACGGAGCACCCCCCGCGUUCCACCGAGCCUCCUCGGUCGCGUGGCCCGCGGGGACGUGCGAUGCUCUCGGACCCAGUGAACGCCGUGGGCGAGGACUCACGUCCCGGUCCCAAGUGAAGCAACGGUAUAACGCCGACGGCCGCUCCCGCCCCCCGACCGCCCCGACGGCGCGGGGCGAAGGCGCGGCGUCGCUGAGGAAUGCUACCU